rnacentral:rRNA from 1 species
GACGAACGCUGGCGGCGUGCUUAACACAUGCAAGUCGAACGGGAAUGCCCUGCUUUUGUGGGGUGCUCGAGUGGCGAACGGGUGGGUAACACGUGAGUAACCUGCCCUUGACUUUGGGAUAACUUCAGGAAACUGGGGCUAAUAACUGAUAGGAGCUCCUGCGGCAUGGUGGGGGGUGGGGAGUUUCGGCGGUUGGGGGUUGACGCGCGGCUUAUCAGCUUGUUGGUGGGGUAGUGGCUUACCAAGGCUUUGACGGGUAGCCGGCCUGAUAGGGUGACCGGCCACAUUGGGACUGAGAUACGGCCCAGACUACUACGGGAGGCAGCAGUGGGGAAUAUUGCACAAUGGGCGGAAGCCUGAUGCAGCAACGCCGAGUGCUGGAUGACGGCCUUCGCGUUGUAAACCGCUUUCGCCUGUGACGAAGCGUGAGUGACGGUAAUGGGUAAAGAAGCACCGGCUAACUACGUA